GAUGAACGCUGGCGGCGUGCCUAAUACAUGCAAGUCGAGCGAACAGACGAGGAGCUUGCUCCUCUGACGUUAGCGGCGGACGGGUGAGUAACACGUGGAUAACCUACCUAUAAGACUGGGAUAACUUCGGGAAACCGGAGCUAAUACCGGAUAAUAUAUUGAACCGCAUGGUUCAAUAGUGAAAGACGGUUUUGCUGUCACUUAUAGAUGGAUCCGCGCCGCAUUAGCUAGUUGGUAAGGUAACGGCUUACCAAGGCGACGAUGCGUAGCCGACCUGAGAGGGUGAUCGGCCACACUGGAACUGAGACACGGUCCAGACUCCUACGGGAGGCAGCAGUAGGGAAUCUUCCGCAAUGGGCGAAAGCUUGACGGAGCAACGCCGCGUGAGUGAUGAAGGUCUUCGGAUCGUAAAACUCUGUUAUUAGGGAAGGACAAAUGUGUAAGUAACUAUGCACGUCUUGACGGUACCUAAUCAGAAAGCCACGGCUAACUACGUG
rnacentral:rRNA from 1 species